rnacentral:rRNA from 1 species
UGGGGAAUAUUGGACAAUGGGCGCAAGCCUGAUCCAGCAAUGCCGCGUGUGUGAAGAAGGCCUGCGGGUUGUAAGGCACUUUCAGUAGAGAAGAAAAGCUCAAGGUUAAUACCCUUGGGUCUUGACGUAACCUACAGAAGAAGCACCGGCUAACUCCGUGCCAGCAGCCGCGGUAAUACGGAGGGGGUUAGCGUUGUUCGGAAUUACUGGGCGUAAAGCGCACGUAGCCGGACUAUUAAGUCAGGGGUGAAAUCCCGGGGCUCAACCCCGGAACUGCCUUUGAUACUGGUAGUCUUGAGUUCGAGAGAGGUGAGUGGAAUUCCGAGUGUAGAGGUGAAAUUCGUAGAUAUUCGGAGGAACACCAGUGGCGAAGGCGGCUCACUGGCUCGAUACUGACGCUGAGGUGCGAAAGCGUGGGGAGCAAACAGGAUUAGAUACCCCCGUAGUCC